GUCCACGCCGUAAACGAUGGACGCUAGGUGUGGGCGGUGUCGACUCCGUCCGUGCCGAAGCUAACGCAUUAAGCGUCACGCCUGGGGAGUACGGCCGCAAGGCUAAAACUCAAAGGAAUUGACGGGGACCCCGCACAAGCAGCGGAGCAUGUUGUUUAAUUCGAUGCGACGCGAAGAACCUUACCUGGGCUUGACAUGCGCCUGUAAUCUCGGGAAACCGAGCCCCUCUUCGGAGCGGGUGCACAGGUGGUGCAUGGCUGUAGU
rnacentral:rRNA from 1 species